rnacentral:rRNA from 1 species
CCUACGGGAGGCAGCAGUGGGGAAUAUUGGACAAUGGGGGCAACCCUGAUCCAGCCAUGCCGCGUGUGUGAAGAAGGCCCUCGGGUUGUAAAGCACUUUCAGUGAGGAAGAACGCCUGGUGGUUAAUACCCAUCAGGAAAGACAUCACUCACAGAAGAAGCACCGGCUAACUCCGUGCCAGCAGCCGCGGUAAUACGGAGGGUGCGAGCGUUAAUCGGAAUUACUGGGCGUAAAGCGCGCGUAGGUGGCUUGAUAAGCCGGUUGUGAAAGCCCCGGGCUCAACCUGGGAACGGCAUCCGGAACUGUCAAGCUAGAGUGCAGGAGAGGAAGGUAGAAUUCCCGGUGUAGCGGUGAAAUGCGUAGAGAUCGGGAGGAACACCAGUGGCGAAGGCGGCCUUCUGGACUGACACUGACACUGAGGUGCGAAAGCGUGGGUAGCAAACAGGAUUAGAUACCCUUGUAGUC